rnacentral:rRNA from 1 species
AUUGAACGCUGGCGGCAGGCUUAACACAUGCAAGUCGAGCGGAGCGAGGGUGCUUGCACCUUAGCUUAGUGGCGGACGGGUGAGUAAUGCUUAGGAAUCUGCCUAUUAGUGGGGGACAACAUUCCGAAAGGAAUGCUAAUACCGCAUACGCCCUACGGGGGGAAGCAGGGGAUCUUCGGACCUUGCGCUAAUAGAUGAGCCUAAGUCGGAUUAGCUAGUUGGUGGGGUAAAGGCCUACCAAGGCGACGAUCUGUAGCGGGUCUGAGAGGAUGAUCCGCCACACUGGGACUGAGACACGGCCCAGACUCCUACGGGAGGCAGCAGUGGGGAAUAUUGGACAAUGGGCGGAAGCCUGAUCCAGCCAUGCCGCGUGUGUGAAGAAGGCCUUUUGGUUGUAAAGCACUUUAAGCGAGGAGGAGGCUACUUAGAUUAAUACUCUGGGAUAGUGGACGUUACUCGCAGAAUAAGCACCGGCUAACUCUGUGCCAGCCGCCGCAGUAAGAC